GUCCCAGACUCCUACGGGAGGCAGCAGUGGGGAAUAUUGCACAAUGGGGGGAACCCUGAUGCAGCGACGCCGCGUGAGUGAAGAAGUAUUUCGGUCUGUAAAGCUCUAUCAGCAGGGAAGAAGAUGACGGUACCUGACUAAGAAGCCCCGGCUAACUACGUGCCAGCAGCCGCGGUAAUACGUAGGGGGCAAGCGUUAUCCGGAUUUACUGGGUGUAAAGGGAGCGUAGACGGCAGGGCAAGUCUGGAGUGAAAGCCCGGGGCCCAACCCCGGGACUGCUUUGGAAACUGCCAUGCUAGGGUGCUGGAGAGGUAAGCGGAAUUCCUAGUGUAGCGGUGAAAUGCGUAGAUAUUAGGAGGAACACCAGUGGCGAAGACGGCUUACUGGACAGUAACUGACGUUGAGGCUCGAAAGCGUGGGGAGCAAACAGGAUUAGAUACCCCCGUAU
rnacentral:rRNA from 1 species